rnacentral:rRNA from 1 species
GGCGAGGUCCGGGCCAGGAGGCGCGGGAAUACGGAGGGGGCUAGCGUUGUGCGGAAUUACUGAGCGUAAAGCGCACGUAGGCGGCUUUGCAAGUUAGAGGUGAAAGACCGGGGCUCAACUCCGGAAUUGCCUUUAAAACUGCAUCGCUAGAAUUGUGGAGAGGUAAGUGGAAUUCCGAGUGUAGAGGUGAAAUUCGUAGAUAUUCGGAAGAACACCAGUGGCGAAGGCGACUUACUGGACACAUAUUGACGCUGAGGUGCGAAAGCGUGGGGAGCAAACAGGAUUAGAUACCCGAGUAUC